UGGAGAGAGGGGAGCAGCUGGAGCCUUCCUCAGCCCUUGCCUGCGGGUUGCCUAGAGUCUGUACAUAGCAGGACGUGUCGUGUCGGGAGAAGAGGAGAGAUUAUUUCAACAAACUCCUAGAAACCGUCCACGCCCAGCUCUCUAGACAGCUGCCCGGAGCUACGUCUACAUCGAGCUAAAUAAAAGCACACGGCAUUAACCUGGAGGGCUCAGUCCCUGUCUCUAACACCUCACACCCGUUCCUCUCGUCGCUUCCCACCCACCCUUGCCCUUCUCUUCUGGGGAGAAAAGAAAAGUACAUAAUCUGGAUCCUCCCUCGAGAAGCUGGUGUUCUAUGGAGGAAAACAACAUUUAUGCCGCUGCAGUAAGGGAAGGGCUCACGGUCGGUGCUCAGCAUGGCUGGUUGAAACAGAAAAGAGAUCAUUGGAACAGCCUCCGAAUGUUGCCAAACCAAACCCGAAAGAUACUCUUAACUCGAUUUUAAAGAAAACACAAAAAGAUAUUUAAACUUAUCCAUUGAAUGUCAACAACUGUCAUUGCUACAAAACCAGCUGGUGUCAGGAAUCACUAAAAACAAGAUUUUUUUCAUGUUGGCUAAAGCAAAAAAAAAAAAAAAAAAUUCCCUCUCUUCCAGAAAAGCCAGAAGCAGCAGGGGUGUGGGGGGAAGUUCAGAUAAUAAACGGUUAGGCUUUAUGAUACCGAAUACUUAAAAAUAAAAUCCACCUUGAGACUGUGACCACACUUCAGUUCUUCCGUGUCUUGUUCUUUUCCCUUCUUGUCCCCGGCUCUUUCU